AACAACGAAGAGUUUGAUCCUGGCUCAGGAUGAACGCUAGCGACAGGCUUAACACAUGCAAGUCGAGGGGCAGCGGGGAGGUAGCAAUACUUCCGCCGGCGACCGGCGCACGGGUGAGUAACACGUAUGGAACCUGCCCGUAGCAGGGGGAUAAGCGGAAGAAAUUCCGUCUAAUACCGCGUAAUAACUCCGAGAGGCAUCUCAUGGAGUUUAAAGGGUAACACCGGCUACGGAUGGCCAUGCGGCGCAUUAGCUAGUUGGCGGGGUAACGGCCCACCAAGGCGACGAUGCGUAGGGGUUCUGAGAGGAAGGUCCCCCACACUGGUACUGAGACACGGACCAGACUCCUACGGGAGGCAGCAGUGAGGAAUAUUGGUCAAUGGGCGCGAGCCUGAACCAGCCAAGUCGCGUGAGGGAAGACGGUCCUAUGGAUUGUAAACCUCUUUUGUCGGGGAGCAAAAGACGCCACGCGUGGCGUUCCGAGAGUACCCGAAGAAAAAGCAUCGGCUAACUCCGUGCCAGCAGCCGCGGUAAUACGGAGGAUGCGAGCGUUAUCCGGAUUUAUUGGGUUUAAAGGGUGCGCAGGCGGAAGAUCAAGUCAGCGGUAAAAUUGAGAGGCUCAACCUCUUCGAGCCGUUGAAACUGGUUUUCUUGAGUGAGCGAGAAGUAUGCGGAAUGCGUGGUGUAGCGGUGAAAUGCAUAGAUAUCACGCAGAACUCCGAUUGCGAAGGCAGCAUACCGGCGCUCAACUGACGCUCAUGCACGAAAGUGUGGGUAUCGAACAGGAUUAGAUACCCUGGUAGUCCACACAGUAAACGAUGAAUACUAAUUGUUCGGGGAGAAUGAUCCCUGAGUGAUACAGCGAAAGCGUUAAGUAUUCCACCUGGGGAGUACGCCGGCAACGGUGAAACUCAAAGGAAUUGACGGGGGCCCGCACAAGCGGAGGAACAUGUGGUUUAAUUCGAUGAUACGCGAGGAACCUUACCCGGGCUCAAACGACACAGGAAUACUUUUGAAAGGAGGUAGCUCUACGGAGCCUGUGUCGAGGUGCUGCAUGGUUGUCGUCAGCUCGUGCCGUGAGGUGUCGGCUUAAGUGCCAUAACGAGCGCAACCCCCAUCGCCAGUUACCAGCAAGUCAAGUUGGGGACUCUGGCGAGACUGCCGGCGCAAGCUGUGAGGAAGGCGGGGAUGACGUCAAAUCAGCACGGCCCUUACGUCCGGGGCGACACACGUGUUACAAUGGCAGGUACAGAGAGAAGCAAUGCGGCGACGCAAAGCGGAACUUGAAAGCCUGUCUCAGUUCGGAUUGGAGUCUGCAACUCGACUCCAUGAAGCUGGAUUCGCUAGUAAUCGCGCAUCAGCCAUGGCGCGGUGAAUACGUUCCCGGGCCUUGUACACACCGCCCGUCAAGCCAUGGAAGCCGGGAGUGCCUGAAGUGUGCAACCGCAAGGAGCGCCCUAAGGUAAAACUGGUGACUGGGGCUAAGUCGUAACAAGGUAGCCGUACCGGAAGGUGCGGCUGGAACACCUCCUUUCU
rnacentral:rRNA from 2 species